GAAUUAUAUUGUGGAUGGCUAAAUUACAGUCUGUGUGACCAAAAAAGGACAUGUGGCAGCUUUUGCUUCGUCUCCCGACGGCGCAGCUGUAAGAGGACGGCAUGUUCGGCUUAAACGCGACGUUUGGACUCUCGUUCUGACGGCACCCAUUCACUUGCAGAGGAUCCACUGGCGAGCAAGUGACGUAAGUGACUCGUCUACAACUAGGAUGAGAAUUCUGAGCUAAUUUAAAUUUCUGGAGUUGGACACAUGAAGGUUGGCCGUGAGGACUUCAGGUAUUCGUGAUAACUCAAGUUCACGGCAGUUUUAUUUUCCAGUAAUCUUCACGUCACCUCAGGCCUGAAGUGGAAUUCUUCCCAAAGAAGAAAAGGGGGAAAAUGAGGGGAAGCGAUGUUGUCACAGCUGUUUGACUAAUUUUAAGCAACGCUCUCGCUUGGGAAUGAAAACCAGCUCACGUUUGUUUGCUUUGCUGUGUUUCCAUUGUUAAUGAAUUUCUGUGGUGUUUAAUCUGACACUCCGUUUGCCAAAAUACGUUUUGUGAAAACUGAAUUGGCCUCACAUCGGGGUUAUUAUAGUUAACCAAAACCAUUACAAAUAAAUGAAUAGGAUUAAAUCAAAUAAAAUGCCAUUACUUUUGAAGAACUAAACUAAAAAUAAAAGUAAUUGCAUGUGUAUGGACCUUUUUUAUACGUACAAAAAACCCCAAAUAACUAAAAUGUUGACUUAAAUUAAAAUGAGCAGAAAAUAUGAAAAUGUUAAUAAAAAUUAUAAUAGUACCUUAAUGAUAUUAAAAUAGCAUUGCAACAGAUACAGGAUGUAGAAUUGGAAUGAAAGAAAUAAAAAAAAUAUUAAUUUGAUGUAUGGUUUAUUUUACCUGAAAUGGACAGUAUUUUUAUUUAGUCAUGUAUUUGAUAAAUUAUAAUGGAAUUAGAUACAAAAUGAAUUUAUAUGAAGAAACUAAAAAUAUAAUGAAAAUACAAAUGUAUCUAUUAGAGGAAUCUGCUUGGAGGGGCGCAUUUUUUGAGAGUAAACCCAGCAGGCGUGACGGAGCGCUCCGGACUGUACACAUGCCUAUUUUAGGCUUGUUCGUGACUGGGGUUGCCCGAUUUCCGUGUGGUGUCAUCCCUGUGGAGCGAGACUCACGGGACGCUGUCCAUGCUCUCCGGGGUGGCUGUUUAUUGUUAUUACAACACAUUUCCAAAUACAGCGUGCUGUCGCCUUCUUAGUUAGCAGUGUCUGCUAUAAGACAAGCGUCGCUGAUACUUAGAAACAAGGAUCUGAACAAACCGUUAUCUUAAGUACUUUUUAAAUAAGACGGGUUUAAAACCCAUACACUUACAAUGAAGAAAGGAUCGGUUUCUAGGUUCUUUUAGUUUGGUAUCCGACUAGCAAGCGCUCAGAAACCUUAAAAAACAAAUUAUGAACACCGUGGACAAAAAUGUUAAAUAAAAACAGAACAUUUGAAACAAUUCAUAAUACCUAUAGCAGUACAAAAGUGAACUCAGAAGUGUACAUUUACUAUAGUAGAACUAUUACUGUAAAAAUAUCGACUUCAUUUCCAUAGUUCUUCUUACACCGAGUAAAUAUAAAUACCUGUCUUUUCACACUUUUAAUGUCUGGUUCUACUUAUUCCAAACGGUCCCUCGAGGAAGCUCGGGGAACAUAUGUAUUAUUUGUUUUUGCAGGCCAGUGUCUGCACCUGUGGGGGACGUUUGGUCUGAGGAUCACAUUAAUAACCUCUGCUCUAUGCAUCAGCUGAGACGGAUGACCUGCCGACCUUCCUCAGGCGGCCCACUGAGACACCGUCCUGCUGGAAAGAUGGACUUGCUUUCUGUUUGGGAAAGGACAGUGUUCCACGGUUGAGGUCAUAUCCCGAGGGUCCACAGAUUUAGAUAAACAUGCAUCUGAUGCCAGCGCAGAUCCCUAGCACGGAGGGCCCUGUGUCAUAAAACAGUACAAGAUCACCAGAGAGGAUAAACCGUCAAGAACAACAAGAAGACAUAAACAAUAUCUUUCCACAGCAACCUCAGCUUUCCUUAUCGUCCCUGAUGCUGGUUAGUCUUUAUAUGUUGGAACAGAUGGGAGAAGCAAUAAGAUAAUCGCGAUCAUCAGUCUUUUCCGUUCAUGCACAUUUCUUCAAAUUUAAAAGGUUUGCUUUGUAUUAGUUGGACUGGAGAAAGCUGAAUAUUAAAAGGUCUCAGAUAACACUUCCUCUCUCAUCUCUACCCAGCCUGUCACUAUAAAUUUGUACUGUGAGGGAUUGCGGACUAAUCCGGAGUGAUCCUCAUAUAAACAGUGUUUAAUAAAGAGUAGAACGAAGCCAAAAAUCAGUUCACACUGUCAGAAACCUUUUAUUUCCUAAUGGGAAAGUAUGAGGAAACCAUUUCAUUCUGUCUCAUUGAGUUACUUCCCAAACGACCAACCAAUAUUUUUAAAUAAUAUGUCUUUGGAGGACUGCAUUUUAUUGUAAUCUUUUUAGAUAUUGUUUUCCAAACUACAGACCAUCGUCUAAUGCUUCUUUUAAUAAUACUCAUUUUAUUCCCAAAUUGGCUUGAAUGCUGUUGCAGGCCUUAGGGGUAUUUAUGUUAUUAUGUGUUCAAUAAAAAUAUUUACCCAUAGUUCUUUGGGGCUUGUUUAUAUCAGCCGCGCUGCAUCCAGCCAUGGAAAAAAAAUGGACGUUUGUUACAGCUAUUGCAUUGCAAUAACAGGAAAUGUCAUAACAGUGAUAACAGUCAUCUGUGAAUUGCAUUCUCAUAUAAUUUGUCUUUUACAUUAUAACUUUGUGACAAAAAGAGAAGAAAGAUUUGUUUGUUUUUGCAUUAUUUUAAAGACUCAUUACUCAUUGUAAGGUAAAGCUUAUUGGAGAAAAACGAUUUUUCAUUCUUUUAAUAAAAAUGCUGCU